GGAAUCCCGCAAUGUUGUGAAUAUUCCUUGAAAUUAUUGAAAAGAAAAUUUGACACCGUUAAUUUCGUAAGAUUUCACGUGGUUUGUUCUAAAUUUGAUUCAUUUCAUGUAACUACCGUACUAUUAAGAAGAUAUUCGUUGAGAAAUCGUUCAAAAUGGUUGAAUUGGCGAACCUGGUACCGAGACAAAGGAUUGAGAGCACAUUAUGGUCAAUCCUUGUGUUUUGCUACAUACCUCUUGGUGUACUGUUAAUGCUCAUCAGAAUCUUUCUAACUUUAAAUUACUUCUGCAUGCAAGUUGUGUUUAACUGUUUGUGUACCCGUCAGAACAAAAUUAGAAGGUUAUUUGAGAAACUCUUU